UGGGGAAUCUUCCGCAAUGGACGAAAGUCUGACGGAGCAACGCCGCGUGAGUGAAGAAGGUUUUCGGAUCGUAAAACUCUGUCUUUUGGGGCGAACGUGAGUAUGGUGAACAAUCAUAGUCAGUGACGGUACCAAAGGAGGAAGCCACGGCUAACUACGUGCCAGCAGCCGCGGUAAUACGUAGGUGGCAAGCGUUGUCCGGAAUUAUUGGGCGUAAAGAGCGCGUAGGCGGGAUAGUCAGUCUGUUGUAAAGUGCGGGGCUCAACCCCGUGAUGGCAAUGGAAACAGCUAUUCUUGAGUGCAGGAGAGGAAAGUGGAAUUCCCAGUGUAGCGGUGAAAUGCGUAGAUAUUGGGAGGAACACCAGUGGCGAAGGCGACUUUCUGGACUGUGUCUGACGCUGAGGCGCGAAAGCCAGGGGAGCGAACGGGAUUAGAUACCCCGGUAGUCCUGGCCGUAAACGAUGGGUACUAGGUGUGGGGGGUAUCGACCCCUUCCGUGCCGGAGUUAACGCAAUAAGUACCCCGCCUGGGGAGUACGGUCGCAAGACUGAAACUCAAAGGAAUUGACGGGGUCAUAAC
rnacentral:rRNA from 1 species